rnacentral:lncRNA from 1 species
GCAGGUACCUGUGUUUUCCAAUAAACCCUCUUGCUGAUUGCAUCCGAGUGGACUCGGCUCGGUCAUUGGGCGCUUGGGACUCCUCCUGAGGGAAAGGUCCUCUCUGGGGGUCUUUCAUUAUGGGGGCUCGCCCGGGGUUUGGAGACCCUCCGCCCAGAGAUCACCGACCACCCACCGGGAGGUAAGCCGGCCGGCGUUUGUCUUGUCUGUUGUGUCUUGUCCUGUGAACGAUCGAUCAAUAGGCUCAGAUCUGGGGACUAUCUGGGCGGGCCAGAGAAGGAGCUGACGAGCUCGGACUUCUCCCCCGCAGCCCUGGAAGACGUUCCAAGGGUGGUUGGAGGAGAGGGAGAUCCGGAUCCGUGGCACCUCCGUCCGUUUUCGGAGGGAUCCGCACCCUUGAUGACUCCGUCUGAAUUUUAUUGGAGUAGAGGAUCCAAGACCCUCGCUGACUCCGUCUGAAUUUUUGGUUUCAGU